rnacentral:rRNA from 1 species
GACAGCAGUCGCCACGGUAAUACGGAGGGUGCAAGCGUUAUCCGGAUUUAUUGGGUUUAAAGGGUCCGUAGGCGGAUCUGUAAGUCAGUGGUGAAAUCUCACAGCUUAACUGUGAAACUGCCAUUGAUACUGCAGGUCUUGAGUAAAUUUGAAGUGGCUGGAAUAAGUAGUGUAGCGGUGAAAUGCAUAGAUAUUACUUAGAACACCAAUUGCGAAGGCAGGUCACUAAGAUUUAACUGACGCUGAUGGACGAAAGCGUGGGGAGCGAACAGGAUUAGAUACCCCAGUAGUCCCUGUCUCUUAUAC